rnacentral:tRNA from 1 species
GGAGGAUUGGCCGAGUGGCAAGGCACCGGCUCAUUGAGCCGUGGUCGGGGGAGACCCCGCGCACGUUCGAACCGUGCAUCCUCCGCGA